rnacentral:rRNA from 1 species
CAGACGAUGCGUCAUGCAUAUCAAUAAGCGGAGGAAAAGAAACUAACAAGGAUUCCCCUAGUAACGGCGAGUGAAGCGGGAAGAGCUCAAAUUUGAAAUCUUAAAGGGUUUCCCUUUACGAAUUGUAGUUUAAAGAAGUGUUUUCUGUUGAGGUUUUGGUAAAAGUUCUUUGGAAUAGGACAUCAUAGAGGGUGAGAAUCCCGUAUUUGACCUUUACUUUCCAACUUUGUGAUACACUUUCAAAGAGUCGGAUUGUUUGGGAAUGCAGUCCAAAAUGGGUGGUAAAUUUCAUCUAAAGCUAAAUAUUGGCGAGAGACCGAUAGCGAACAAGUACCGUGAGGGAAAGAUGAAAAGAACUUUGAAAAGAGAGUUAAACAGUACGUGAAAUUGUCAAAAGGGAAGCGUUUGACACCAGUGUUGUUUUUCUGAAAAUCAAUUAAAGAACUGUUUAUGCUAAGCUGUUUAGACUUUAUCAGCUAUCUGUUUAGUUUUGAGCUUUUCUUUAAUGCACUUUUCAGUUAACAAGUCAACAUCAAUUUCUUUUGCUGUAAAAAAGCUUGAGGAAGGUGGCUUGAGAUUCGUCUUAAGUGUUUAUAGCCUCCUGCCUAUGCAGUCGGAGAGAUUGAGGUCUGCAGGCGUAGAUCCUUCGGGGCUAAAUGCAUUUGCGCUAAGUUAUAGCAUUUUAUAGACAACUUGUUGACUAUGAUUUGUCUUGUAGCUUACUCGCUUAUGUUAUUUUACCUACGCUUAGGAUGUUGACACACGCGCGUGCUCG